CCUACGGGUGGCAGCAGUGGGGAAUAUUGCGCAAUGGGCGAAAGCCUGAAGCAGCGACGCCGCGUGAGGGAUGAAGGUCUUCGGAUCGUAAAACUCUGUCAGCAGGGAAGAAAGGUCACUGUGCUAAUCAGCAGUGAAUUGACGGUACCUGCAAAGGAAGCACCGGCUAACUCCGUGCCAGCAGCCGCGGUAAUACGGAGGGGGCGAGCGUUAAUCGGACUUACUGGGCGUAAAGCGAUCGUUGGCGGUAUGUCAAGUCAAGGGUGAAAUCCCCGCGCUCAACGUGGGAACUGCCUGUGAAACUGGCAAACUGGAGUGUGUGAGAGGAUAGUGGAAUUCCAGUUGUAGGGGUGAAAUCCGUAGAUAUCUGGAGGAACAUCAGUGGCGAAGGCGACUAUCGGGCACAUAACUGACGCUGAGGAGCGAAAGCGUGGGAAGCAAACAGGAUUAGAUACCCCAGUAGUC
rnacentral:rRNA from 1 species